rnacentral:rRNA from 1 species
AACGAACGUUGGCGGCGUGGAUUAGGCAUGCAAGUCGAGCGAGGACUGUUUUUGUAGCAAUACAAGAGCAGAGCCGAGCGGCGAAAGGGCAGUAAGGCAUGGGUAACCUACCUCGGGGACCGGGAUAGUCAUUCUAACGAGUGGGUAAUACCGGGCGAUUUGACGGAGUCGCAUGGCUCUGUCAGGAAAUGAAUUUCGCCUCGGGAGGGGCUCAUGUGGUAUUAGCUAGUUGGUAGGGUAAUGGCCUACCAAGGCAAAGAUGCCUAGCUGGUGUGAGAGCACGACCAGCGCCACUGGCACUGAGACACUGGCCAGACACCUACGGGUGGCUG